rnacentral:rRNA from 1 species
ACUGCAAUUAAAACUGCUCGACUAGAGUUUGAUAGAGGAAAGCGGAAUACAUAGUGUAGAGGCGAAAUUCGUAGAUACUAUGUAGAACACCAGUUGCGAAGGCGGCUUUCUGGAUCAACACUGACGCUGAGGCGCGAAAGUAUGGGUAGCAAAGAGGAUUAGAUACCCUCGUAGUCCAUACCAUAAACGAUGAUUGCUAGAUGUUGGAAAUUUAUUUUCAGUAUCGCAGCUAACGCAUUAAGCAAUCCGCCUGGGGAGUACGACCGCAAGGUUAAAACUCAAAUGAAUUGACGGGGACCCGCACAAGCGGUGGAGCAUGUGGUUUAAUUCGAAGAUACGCGCAGAACCUUACCAACCCUUGACAUGUCUGUCGCGAGUUUAGGAAACUAGACUUUUCGGUUCGGCCGGACAGAACACAGGUGCUGCAUGGCUGUCGUCAGCUCGUGUCGUGAGAUGUUGGGUUAAGUCCCGCAACGAGCGCAACCCCUACUUUUAGUUGCCAUCAGGUCAUGCUGGGCACUCUGAAAGAACUGCCAGUGAUAAGCUGGAGGAAGGUGGGGAUGACGUCAAGUCCUCAUGGCCCUUACGGGUUGGGCUACACACGUGCUACAAUGGUAGUGACAAUGAGAUGCAAGGUGGCGACGCUAAGCUAAACUCAAAAAUCUACCUCAGUUCGGAUUGCACUCUGCAACUCGAGUGCAUGAAGCUGGAAUCGCUAGUAAUCGUAGAUCAGCGUGCUACGGUGAAUACGUUCCCGGGUCUUGUACACACCGCCCGUCACACCAUGGAAGUUGGUUCUACCUUAAAGCAGAUUGCUAACCGCAAGGAGGCGUUUGACCAAGGUAUAGUCAGCGACUGGGGUG